rnacentral:lncRNA from 1 species
GAACGAGUCACAAAGAUGUACAAAGUGCCUGUGCUACCCAUCCCAUAAACUUCUGCUCCCUCAGCCUUAGAGAGAUGGGUGUCUUUUCCAUUUGUUUUGGUCAAGCUAUUGUGUAAAUUAAGCUACAUCUCGUGGGUCAUACAACUAAAAAGAAGAGAUUGGAAACUCCUCAGGGCAGAGUCUGUCUGUAUUGGUGCCUAUUAUAGCUCACACACACCCCUGAGAGGCAAUGCCUCAUAAUUAAUCGCUAAAUAAUUAAUAAGAAGAAGAAGCAGCUACUACUCAGGAAGUAAUUAACCUCCUUAUGCUUACAGGGAAGUCCUAUGGAAGGGAAGAGUAAUUAAAGGCUUUUUAAAUGACACAGAAAAAUCCCCACUGACCUCGGCCAGGAUGGGUUUAGGAAGUGGGUCCAGUAGGAUUUCCUUAGUUACCAUAUUAAAAUAACUUUGUUCCUGUAUGUAAAAUUUCCUAAUCUGGUGAUUUUUGUUCAUCCAUCUGUACCAGUAUGCAGCCUGGAUGAAAAAUUUCAUUUUUAUUUAAUUUAAUUUUUGACAGUAGGGAAUGGUUAGUUAUAAGGUAUGCCGGAAUUUUCCUUGGAAAGCAAGCAGGUUGCUAACUCACAUUGGAACAGGGGUUUUCACUAUUUCAUUCAGGCAGUAUCAUAAAAUGCACAAAACUAAGACCUGGAUGGCAAAAUUAGUUUGCAAGAGGUACCUUUAGGUACCAUGGUCCAUCCACAAAGGCACAGAGAGAAUGUGGCAUCUAUUUUUCUUCAUAGCUGAAAGAGACUUUUGCAGUCAUUGCCAUGCUCCUUCAGAUGAAUUCACACAGUCCUGCAGAGAUGUGAAUUUUCUGGGACUUUGGAGCUGUCACAGCCGAGAGCUGAAAGCAUCAGCUGAGUGUAUCAGAACACACAACUACUCGGUAUCACUUCAUCAAGGAAACCAAGAAAUUUUCCCAGCCCUGGGUUUCCUUCUACCACAGUGCCUUCUUCUUUGAAGACCAGACACAUGAAACUUCAGCGGCUGUGACGGCAUAGCAGAAACUCCCAGGAGAAUCAGGAUCUCCUGUUUGCUGGCAUCCCUAAUCUGGCCAAGUGGCUCACUGCUGUGGAAAGGACAGCUGUAUCCUGCUCCUUCCCCUUGGGACCACUGCUGCUUUUCUGCCAGCUCCCUUGCAUUGAUUGCUCCAUGAUGCAAUGAGAGGAGUGACUGCAAACACAUCCCUGUGCCCCCGACAAGAUUAAU